CGAAAGCCUGACGGAGCAAGACCGCGUGAGGGAGGAAGGCUCUUGGGUUGUAAACCUCUUUUCUCAGGGAAGAAAAAAAUGACGGUACCUGAGGAAGAAGCAUCGGCUAACUCCGUGCCAGCAGCCGCGGUAAUACGGAGGAGGCAAGCGUUAUCCGGAAUUAUUGGGCGUAAAGCGUCCGCAGGUGGCUCGCUCAAGUCUGCUGUCAAAGACCGGGGCUUAACUCCGGAAAGGCAGUUGAAACUGACAAGCUAAAGGGCUCUAGGGGUAGAGGGAAUUCCCGGUGUAGCGGUGAAAUGCGUAGAGAUCGGGAAGAACAUCGGUGGCGAAAGCGCUCUACUGGAGAGCAACUGACACUCAGGGACGAAAGCUAGGGGAGCG
rnacentral:rRNA from 1 species